AUUGAACGCUGGCGGCAGGCUUAACACAUGCAAGUCGAGCGGGGGAGGUUGCUUCGGUAACUGACCUAGCGGCGGACGGGUGAGUAAUGCUUAGGAAUCUGCCUAUUAGUGGGGGACAACAUUCCGAAAGGGAUGCUAAUACCGCAUACGCCCUACGGGGGAAAGCAGGGGAUCUUCGGACCUUGCGCUAAUAAAUGAGCCUAGGUCGGAUUAGCUAGUUGGUGGGGCAAAGGCCUACCAAGGCGACGAUCUGUAGCGGGUCUGAGAGGAUGAUCCGCCACACUGGGACUGAGACACGGCCCAGACUCCUACGGGAGGCAGCAGUGGGGAAUAUUGGACAAUGGGCGGAAGCCUGAUCCAGCCAUGCCGCGUGUGUGAAGAAGGCCUUUUGGUUGUAAAGCACUUUAAGCGAGGAGGAGGCUACUAGUACUAAUACUACUGGAUAGUGGACGUUACUCGCAGAAUAAGCACCGGCUAACUCUGUGCCAGCCGCCGCCGUAAAAC
rnacentral:rRNA from 1 species